rnacentral:rRNA from 1 species
UCUGGCAUCGAUGAAGAACGCAGCGAAAUGCGAUAAGUAAUGUGAAUUGCAGAAUUCAGUGAAUCAUCGAAUCUUUGAACGCACAUUGCGCCCAUUAGUAUUCUAGUGGGCAUGCCUGUUCGAGCGUCAUUU